rnacentral:rRNA from 1 species
GACGAACGCUGGCGGCGUGCUUAACACAUGCAAGUCGAACGGAAAGGCCCUGCUUUUGUGGGGUGCUCGAGUGGCGAACGGGUGAGUAACACGUGAGUAACCUGCCCUUGACUUUGGGAUAACAUCAGGAAACUGGGGCUAAUACCGGAUAGGAGCUCCUGCUGCAUGGUGGGGGUUGGAAAGUUUCGGCGGUUGGGGAUGGACUCGCGGCUUAUCAGCUUGUUGGUGGGGUAGUGGCUUACCAAGGCUUUGACGGGUAGCCGGCCUGAGAGGGUGACCGGCCACAUUGGGACUGAGAUACGGCCCAGACUCCUACGGGAGGCAGCAGUGGGGAAAAUUGCACAAUGGGCGGAAGCCUGAUGCAGCAACGCCGCGUGCGGGAUGACGGCCUUCGGGUUGUAAACCGCUUUCGCCUGUGACGAAGCGUGAGUGACGGUAAUGGGUAAAGAAGCACCAGCUAACUACGUG